AGAAUCAACGCUGGCGGCGUGCCUAACACAUGCAAGUCGAACGAGAAAGUGGAGCAAUCCAUGAGUAAAGUGGCGACCGGGUGAGUAACACGUGACUAACCUACCUUCGAGUGGGGGAUAACCUCGGGAAACCGAGGCUAAUACCGCAUAACAUCGUGAGAUCAAAGCAGUAAUGCGCUGGAAGAGGGGGUCGCGGCUGAUUAGCGUAGUUGGCGGGGUAAUCGGCCCACCAAGGCGAAGAUCGGUA
rnacentral:rRNA from 1 species